AAAUACGGAAACUAGACGAUUUUAUUCUCAUUUUUCUGCCGUUUUUUGUCCGUUUUUAAACAAAUUGGUCGAUUUUGUUUGCGACGAGGACUCGACCUUUUCCCUUCAGAAUUUUUUGGAUAAAAAAAAAAUUUUCGUGAAUGCUCUUCAAACUGUUGAAGGUGAAGUUCAUCCACAAAAAGUUGCGAUGCCUUCCUUGUGCCCAAACACAAUUUAUAUUGAUCAUGAAGAUGUUGUAGUGACCUGCAACCUCUCGUUUAUCAACUUUGAAACUACUCCGCCCGAGCCAAAAAGUAUACACGUGCGGAGGCAAGCACAAAGCCUUUUGGAAACUUUAAAAGACUUGCAAAGUUC